UCACAGGUAGACUGACUCCAGUUUGUCUAGUGGUUGACUUUAGAGUGUAUUCAGUCAAAUUAAACAGCCAGUGGAAAUCUCACCACCUCAGUAUCUGUCCUUUUUUCAUGACAAUAGACAUUUUCUCCAUAUAAAUAGGACCAAAUGAAAGAGAAUGUUUUAUCUUAUCAAACCUGCAUUUGCUACAAACAAGUUUAAAAAAAAUGUUGAGAAAUAAAGCUUUGUUCAUCUCUCUGACAUGGCUACUACUAGUCGCUUACUUCGCCACAUGUUCGUAUGGAGCUACAUCGAAACCCAGCAAACACGUUGUGUACCCCCAAGGUUGCCGCUGCUGCAUGUUUGAUUUCUCGAAGCCGUUGAUCUCUUGUGCUAGAGUUUGCUGUGGGCAGAAUUGCUGUUAGACCACCUCACAACAGCUACCACAAUGUCCAAAGCAAAAAUUCUUGAAAACCGAGGUUGUAGUUUUUCGAGUAUCCAAAUAAAAAUUUCUGAAAUGUUUUCCCUUGUUU